rnacentral:lncRNA from 1 species
GCACCAAGUAUAAGUGCCAGCCGCAUGUCCGCCCACGAGUGUUGGGACAACGGUAAACCCAAGUGGAAGAAAACAGACUUCGAGAAGAAUCGGGGCAUCCACGCAACAGGAGGGGGCACUGGUAUCGCACCCGCUGAACAAUGGGCCCGUCCCUCCAUCUUGUGGGGGCACUGGUGUUCCACAUGGCAAUGCGGCUGCCAAGCCCGUACAGCAGUGGCAGCGCCUGCGCUGGUUGGCCGGUGCUUUCAAUGCUGCCAGCCGCCAUUCCCGACGCCACAGUGAACGAGCAUGACGACUGGCAUGAUGCCUGAUUCACCUGCCUCACCGCUGCUGGACUGGGGUGGCAUCAUGGAGGUUGCGGUUGCUGCGCCACCAACCAAGCCCCCACCUCCUCUACCUCCUCAGCCGCCACGUGUGGUUGUCCGAGUGAAGACAACUAAAGGCCGCACCGACUGGAGGAGCUGCACCUGCUGUAGGUGGAGCUACGUCAGUGUCAGGUUGUCUAUUAACAGACUUAGGCCCAGGUUUUCCAUCAGCAGCAGUGUAACAAGCUGGUUCGAGCUUGAGCUGCUUCAGCUCAACAAACUAAUCACGCUGCAACAACUGCUUGUUCUCGGGGCCCAGCCACAACAGUAGGCUGAUUUGUUCGAUUUGUUUCAUCUUCCUCUUUAGUAAUUACCACUCUCUUUUGUGUUUAAGAAUGCUUUUUUAAAGUCUGUAACUUGCUUCAUUUUAUCCCUGACCUGAAGUUGUUACAAGUGUUGACCAUAUCUCGUUCGUUAAAGCCUAGCAUUUUUUUUAACUUGUUUCUCGAUUCGCUAUUCUUAGUGAACAUUUUAUGCAAAAGGGCAGUUAUGUCAGCUUUAAAUCUAUUC